rnacentral:rRNA from 1 species
CGACGCCGCGUGGAGGAUGAAGGCCUUCGGGUCGUAAACUCCUGUCGAGGGGGACGAAAUGGCACCUUGUAAAUAGCAAGGAGCCUUGACUGUACCCCUGGAGGAAGCCCCGGCUAACUCCGUGCCAGCAGCCGCGGUAAUACGGAGGGGGCCAGCGUUGCUCGGAAUCACUGGGCGUAAAGGGCUCGUAGGCGGUCUGAUAAGUCCUGUGUGAAAUCCCUUGGCUUAACCAAGGAACUGCGCCGGAUACUGUCGGACUAGAGGCCGGGAGAGGGAAGCGGAAUUCCCAGUGUAGCGGUGAAAUGCGUAGAUAUUGGGAGGAACAUCGGUGGCGAAGGCGGCUUCCUGGACCGGUUCUGACGCUGAGGAGCGAAAGCUAGGGUAGCAAACAGGAUUAGAUACCCUGGUAGUCCUAGCUGUAAACGAUGGGCGCUUGGUGUUGCGGGUAUCGGCCCCUGCAGUGCCGAAGCUAACGCAUUAAGCGCCCCGCCUGGGGAGUGCGGUCGCAAGGCUG